rnacentral:rRNA from 1 species
AGUCUUAACUGGGCGUUAAGUUGCAGGGUAUAGACCCGAAACCCGGUGAUCUAGCCAUGGGCAGGUUGAAGGUUGGGUAACACUAACUGGAGGACCGAACCGACUAAUGUUGAAAAAUUAGCGGAUGACUUGUGGCUGGGGGUGAAAGGCCAAUCAAACCGGGAGAUAGCUGGUUCUCCCCGAAAGCUAUUUAGGUAGCGCCUCGUGAAUUCAUCUCCGGGGGUAGAGCACUGUUUCGGCAAGGGGGUCAUCCCGACUUACCAACCCGAUGCAAACUGCGAAUACCGGAGAAUGUUAUCACGGGAGACACACGGCGGGUGCUAACGUCCGUCGUGAAGAGGGAAACAACCCAGACCGCCAGCUAAGGUCCCAAAGUCAUGGUUAAGUGGGAAACGAUGUGGGAAGGCCCAGACAGCCAGGAUGUUGGCUUAGAAGCAGCCAUCAUUUAAAGAAAGCGUAAUAGCUCACUGGUCGAGUCGGCCUGCGCGGAAGAUGUAACGGGGCUAAACCAUGCACCGAAGCUGCGGCAGCGACGCUGAUGCGUUGUUGGGUAGGGGAGCGUUCUGUAAGCCUGUGAAGGUGUGCUGUGAGGCAUGCUGGAGGUAUCAGAAGUGCGAAUGCUGACAUAAGUAACGAUAAAGCGGGUGAAAAGCCCGCUCGCCGGAAGACCAAGGGUUCCUGUCCAACGUUAAUCGGGGCAGGGUGAGUCGACCCCUAAGGCGAGGCCGAAAGGCGUAGUCGAUGGGAAACAGGUUAAUAUUCCUGUACUUGGUGUUACUGCGAAGGGGGGACGGAGAAGGCUAUGUUGGCCGGGCGACGGUUGUCCCGGUUUAAGCGUGUAGGCUGGUUUUCCAGGCAAAUCCGGAAAACUAAGGCUGAGGCGUGAUGACGAGGCACUACGGUGCUGAAGCAACAAAUGCCCUGCUUCCAGGAAAAGCCUCUAAGCAUCAGGUAACAUCAAAUCGUACCCCAAACCGACACAGGUGGUCAGGUAGAGAAUACCAAGGCGCUUGAGAGAACUCGGGUGAAGGAACUAGGCAAAAUGGUGCCGUAACUUCGGGAGAAGGCACGCUGAUAUGUAGGUGAAGUCCCUCGCGGAUGGAGCUGAAAUCAGUCGAAGAUACCAGCUGGCUGCAACUGUUUAUUAAAAACACAGCACUGUGCAAACACGAAAGUGGACGUAUACGGUGUGACGCCUGCCCGGUGCCGGAAGGUUAAUUGAUGGGGUCAGCGCAAGCGAAGCUCUUGAUCGAAGCCCCGGUAAACGGCGGCCGUAACUAUAACGGUCCUAAGGUAGCGAAAUUCCUUGUCGGGUAAGUUCCGACCUGCACGAAUGGCGUAAUGAUGGCCAGGCUGUCUCCACCCGAGACUCAGUGAAAUUGAACUCGCUGUGAAGAUGCAGUGUACCCGCGGCAAGACGGAAAGACCCCGUGAACCUUUACUAUAGCUUGACACUGAACAUUGAGCCUUGAUGUGUAGGAUAGGUGGGAGGCUUUGAAGUGUGGACGCCAGUCUGCAUGGAGCCGACCUUGAAAUACCACCCUUUAAUGUUUGAUGUUCUAACGUUGACCCGUAAUCCGGGUUGCGGACAGUGUCUGGUGGGUAGUUUGACUGGGGCGGUCUCCUCCUAAAGAGUAACGGAGGAGCACGAAGGUUGGCUAAUCCUGGUCGGACAUCAGGAGGUUAGUGCAAUGGCAUAAGCCAGCUUGACUGCGAGCGUGACGGCGCGAGCAGGUGCGAAAGCAGGUCAUAGUGAUCCGGUGGUUCUGAAUGGAAGGGCCAUCGCUCAACGGAUAAAAGGUACUCCGGGGAUAACAGGCUGAUACCGCCCAAGAGUUCAUAUCGACGGCGGUGUUUGGCACCUCGAUGUCGGCUCAUCACAUCCUGGGGCUGAAGUAGGUCCCAAGGGUAUGGCUGUUCGCCAUUUAAAGUGGUACGCGAGCUGGGUUUAGAACGUCGUGAGACAGUUCGGUCCCUAUCUGCCGUGGGCGCUGGAGAACUGAGGGGGGCUGCUCCUAGUACGAGAGGACCGGAGUGGACGCAUCACUGGUGUUCGGGUUGUCAUGCCAAUGGCACUGCCCGGUAGCUAAAUGCGGAAGAGAUAAGUGCUGAAAGCAUCUAAGCACGAAACUUGCCCCGAGAUGAGUUCUCCCUGACUCCUUGAGAGUCCUGAAGGAACGUUGAAGACGACGACGUUGAUAGGCCGGAUGUGUAAGCGCAGCGAUGCGUUGAGCUAACCGGUACUAAUGAACCGUGAGGCUUAACCUU